rnacentral:rRNA from 1 species
UACAGAGGGUGCGAGCGUUGUCCGGAAUCACUGGGCGUAAAGGGCGCGUAGGCGGCUUGAUAAGGUUGCGGUGAAAGCCCGGGGCUCAACCCCGGGUCGGCCGUGGCAACUGCCGAGCUGGAGCACUGUAGAGGCAGGUGGAAUUCCGGGUGUAGCGGUGGAAUGCGUAGAGAUCCGGAAGAACACCGGUGGCGAAGGCGGCCUGCUGGGCAGUGGCUGACGCUGAGGCGCGACAGCGUGGGGAGCAA